rnacentral:rRNA from 1 species
GUGAGGAAUAUUGGUCAAUGGGCGAGAGCCUGAACCAGCCAAGUCGCGUGAAGGAAGAAGGAUCUAUGGUUCGUAAACUUCUUUUGCAGGGGAAUAAAGUGCAGGACGUGUCCUGUUUUGUAUGUACCCUGAGAAUAAGGAUCGGCUAACUCCGUGCCAGCAGCCGCGGUAAUACGGAGGAUCCGAGCGUUAUCCGGAUGUAUUGGGUUUAAAGGGUGCGUAGGUGGUUUGAUAAGUCAGCGGUGAAAGUUUGCAGCUUAACUGUAAAAAUGCCGUUGAAACUGUCGGACUUGAGUGUAAAUGAGGUAGGCGGAAUGCGUGGUGUAGCGGUGAAAUGCAUAGAUAUCACGCAGAACUCCGAUUGCGAAGGCAGCUUACUAAGCUACAACUGACACUGAAGCACGAAAGCGUGGGGAUCAAACAGGAUUAGAUACCCCUGUAGUCC